UUUUUUUUUUUUUUUUUUUUUUAAAAUCUAGGGAAGCAGGCAGCACUGUCAGCUCAAGAGCUGUGUUUUCUGUCCCCUGCAUACGAUCUUCUAGGAAUCCUGGAUCGCCUGUUCUCUGAAUAACAGCCACUUCUGGGAGAUGUAACACAAAUGUGUAGGGGCCUGGUUGGGGGGGGGGGGGAUGCCCAGCUAUCUUUAAAUAUAGAUAGGGGCUUACUAUUCCCCCCCUUUUUUUUGACAGUUUCUCUAGGUAACUCUGGGAGCCUUGGCAUUCUGUAGACAAAGCUGGCCUCAAACUCAGAGAUCUGCCUGUUUGCCUAUGCCUCUUGAGUGUGGGAUUAACUCACCACCCACCACCACCUGACCUGGCCUGAGCUUGCCAUUUGGAUGUCUGGUUAAACUGCACUUGAAAUAAGGAGAAGAUAGGUUUGGACUGGGUUAGUGGGAGAGAGAACCAGCUGGAUGGCAGGUCAAAUGAAGGUGAUGGUCUGUGAGAUUUUUUUCCCCUCCAAAAAUGGGGAGGGAAGUGGCUGCACUGCCCAAGGAACUGAUAAGGAAAUAUCAACAAGAUGGGGGAUUUAGGGAGGGAAAUUGGGAGUUAGAACCAGCAAGCCAUUGCCUCACCCUCUGGAACUGAAAAAGCCAGAAGGCAGGGAGAGGGACAUAGACUAGGUGAGCGUUUGGCAUGGUAAGGUGUGGAUGUAAACCGAUCCUCAGAAGGCAGAGGCAGGAGAAUGGCCACAGGUUUGAGGCCAGCCUGGUCUACAUAGAUAGUUUGAGGCCAGCCUGGACUGCAGAAUGAGUACCUACAUUAGAAAAAGGGGGGGAAAGGCAGACAGAUGGGCAGACAGACAACAGAGGGAGAGAGAGAGAGAAGAAAGGAAGAAAGAAAG
rnacentral:lncRNA from 1 species